rnacentral:rRNA from 1 species
AGUUUGAUCAUGGCUCAGAACGAACGCUGGCGGCAGGCCUAACACAUGCAAGUCGAACGCUCGUAGCAAUACGGGAGUGGCAGACGGGUGCGUAACGCGUGGGAACAUACCCUUUGGUUCGGAAUAACUCAGGGAAACUUGAGCUAAUACCGGAUACGCCCGAGAGGGGAAAGAUUUAUUGCCGAAGGAUUGGCCCGCGUCUGAUUAGCUAGUUGGUAGGGUAACGGCCUACCAAGGCGACGAUCAGUAGCUGGUCUGAGAGGAUGAUCAGCCACACUGGGACUGAGACACGGCCCAGACUCCUACGGGAGGCAGCAGUGGGGAAUAUUGGACAAUGGGCGCAAGCUUGAUCCAGCCAUGCCGCGUGAGUGAUGACGGCCUUAGGGUUGUAAAGCUCUUUUACCUGGGAAGAUAAUGACGGUACCAGGAGAAUAAGCCCCGGCUAACUACGUG